rnacentral:sRNA from 1 species
ACGGCGAGUGAAGCGGGAAGAGCUCAAAUUUGAAAUCUGGUAGCCUUCGGUUGCCCGAGUUGUAAUCUAGAGAAGUGUUUUCCGUGCCGGCCCAUGUACAAGUCCCUUGGAACAGGGCGUCAUAGAGGGUGAGAAUCCCGUCCUUGACAUGGACCCCCGGUGCUUUGUGAUACACUUUCAACGAGUCGAGUUGUUUGGGAAUGCAGCUCAAAAUGGGUGGUGAAUUCCAUCUAAAGCUAAAUAUUGGCGAGAGACCGAUAGCGAACAAGUACCGUGAGGGAAAGAUGAAAAGCACUUUGGAAAGAGAGUUAAACAGUACGUGAAAUUGUUGAAAGGGAAACGAUUGAAGUCAGUCAUGCUCUUAGGAUUCAGCCGUUCUGCGGUGUAUUUCCUUUGAGUGGGGUCAACAUCAGUUUUGAUCGAUGGAUAAAGGCACGAGGAAGGUAGCACUCUCGGGUGAACUUAUAGCCUCGCGUCAUAUACAUUGAUUGGGACUGAGGAACGCAGCAUGCCUUUAUGGCCGGGAUUCGUCCACGUACAUGCUUAGGAUGUUGACAUAAUGGC